rnacentral:rRNA from 1 species
AUUGAACGCUGGCGGCAGGCCUAACACAUGCAAGUCGAACGAGUGGCGGACGGGCGAGUAAUGUCUGGGAAACUGCCUGAUGGAGGGGGAUAACUACGGGAAACGGUAGCAAAUACCGCAUACCAUCGGAGGUGCCCAGAUGGGAUUAGCUAGUAGGUGGGGUAAGGGUCACCAAGGCGACGACCCUUAACUGGUCUGAGAGGAUGACCAGCCACACUGGAACAGAGACACGGUCAAGACUCCUACGGGAGGCAGCAGUGGGGAAUAUUGCACAAUUGGCGCAAGCCUAAUGCAGCUAUGCCGCGUGUAUGAAGCAGGCCUUUGGGUUGUGAAGUACUUUCAGCGGGGAGGCGUUACCCGCACAAGAAGCACCGGCUAACUCCGUGCCAGCAGCCGCGGUAAUUC